rnacentral:rRNA from 1 species
UGGGGGAUAUUGCACAAUGGGCGAAAGCCUGAUGCAGCGACGCCGCGUGGGGGAUGAAGGCCUUCGGGUUGUAAACUUCUUUUGCUCUGAACAAGGCAUGCUAAUGGGUGUGUUGAGUGUAGGGGUUGAUUAGCGCCGGCUAACUACGUGCCAGCAGCCGCGGUAAUACGUAGGGCGCGAGCGUUGUCCGGAAUUAUUGGGCGGAAAGGGCUUGUAGGUGGCUGGUUGCGUCUGUCGUGAAAGCUCAUGGCUUAACUGUGGGUUUGCGGUGGGUACGGGCUGGCUUGGGUGCAGUAGGGGGGGCUGGAAUUCCUGGUGUAGCGGUGGAAUGCGCAGAUAUCAGGAGGAAUACCGGUGGCGAAAGCGGGUCUCUGGGCUGUUACUGACACUGAGGAGCGAAAGCAUGGGGAGCGAACAGG